rnacentral:rRNA from 1 species
GCUCAUCCACUCUCAUACCCCUGUGCACUUACUGUAGGCUAGGUGGGAUGAACCCCGAUCGCAAGGUUAGGGUUUUGAAAGCCUUGUCUAUGUUUUACUACAAACGAUUCAGUUAUAGAAUGUCACAUUAGCGUUUAACGCAAUAAAUACAACUUUCAGCAACGGAUCUCUUGGCUCUCGCAUCGAUGAAGAACGCAGCGAAAUGCGAUAAGUAAUGUGAAUUGCAGAAUUCAGUGAAUCAUCGAAUCUUUGAACGCACCUUGCGCUCCUUGGUAUUCCGAGGAGCAUGCCUGUUUGAGUGUCAUGGUAUUCUCAACCUUUAAAGCUUUUUUCAUUCGAGAAGGCUUUGAAGGCUUGGACUUGGAGGUUCAGUGUUGGCGCUUUUUUGAGUCAACUCCUCUGAAAUGCAUUAGUGUGAACCUUUACGGAUCGCCAUCAGUGUGAUAAUUAUCUACGCUGUGGCUGUGAAGUAAGACUGCGUGUUCAUGCUUCUAACUGUCCUGUAUUGGACAAAAUUUACUUUUGACAAUCUGACCUCAAAUCAGGUAGGACUACCCGCUGAACUUAAG